GUUGGCUCAACCAGCCUCAGCCCUUCGGGGCUACGUUUGAAGUUGAAGCGAAAGCGACUCACCCUGGGGUGCAUUUCUCAGCCCCAGGCACUGAG
rnacentral:sRNA from 14 species